CCUACGGGAGGCAGCAGUGAGGAAUAUUGGUCAAUGGACGAGAGUCUGAACCAGCCAAGUAGCGUGAAGGAUGACUGCCCUAUGGGUUGUAAACUUCUUUUAUAUGGGAAUAAAAUGUUCCCCGUGUGGGAUUUUGUAUGUACCAUAUGAAUAAGGAUCGGCUAACUCCGUGCCAGCAGCCGCGGUAAUACGGAGGAUCCGAGCGUUAUCCGGAUUUAUUGGGUUUAAAGGGAGCGUAGGUGGGUUGUUAAGUCAGUUGGGAAAGUUUGCGGGCCAACCGUAAAAGUGCAGUUGAAACUGGCAGUCUUGAGUACAGUAGAGGUGGGCGGAAUUCGUGGUGUAGCGGUGAAAUGCUUAGAUAUCACGCAGAACUCCGAUUGCGAAGGCAGCUCACUGGACUGCAACUGACACUGAGGCUCGAAAGUGUGGGUAUCAAACAGGAUUAGAUACCCCGGUAGUC
rnacentral:rRNA from 1 species